UAAUACGGAGGGUGCAAGCGUUAUUCGGAAUCUCUGGGCGUAAAGGACACGUAGGCGGGAAGCCAAGUCUGAUGUGAAAUCCUAUGGCUCAACCAUAGAACUGCAUUGGAAACUGGUUACCUAGAGUAUGGGAGGGGGAGAUGGAAUUAGUGGUGUAGGGGUAAAAUCCGUAGAUAUCACUAGGAAUACCUAAAGCGAAGGCGAUCUCCUGGAACAAUACUGACGCUAAGGUGUGAAAGCGUGGGGAGCAAACGGGAUUAGAUACCCCGGUAGUCCACGCCCUAAACGAUGUUCACUAGUCGUCGGGAUGCUAGUCAUCUCGGUGAUGCACUUAACAGAUUAAGUGAACCGCCUGGGGAGUACGGUCGCAAGAUUA
rnacentral:rRNA from 1 species